UUGAAUUGUGAGAUUGUGUGCAUCAAGUGUGAUGCAGGAUAUUCAUUUUCUUGUUUUUGAUAGGUACUGAUGCACCUUUGGGAUAAUGUAUCAGGUACCAUUGCUUGAGCCUCACUAAAAAUGUUCCUGGUCAGUUCCUUGCUUCUCUAAGAUGGCUGAGAAGUCUGUUGAGAGGGGGAGAUCCAAACCAGUUCUAUGAAGAGGGCAAGCCGUGUGUGAAGUGUUGACCAGCCUCACUAGUGUUUUGAAGAUGAUCUGGUCGUGUCCUAGCUUCUCUAAGAUGGCUGUGAAGUCAGUUGAGAGGGGGAGACUUCAAACCAGUUCCAUGAAGAGGUGAAGCUGAAGUGUGAAGUGUGAAGUGUGCGCAAAGCUGUGAAGAGUUGCUGCACCUGUUAGGCCGUGAUCCAGAGCUUCUUGUGUCCAACCACACUGGUUCUAAG
rnacentral:lncRNA from 1 species